rnacentral:rRNA from 1 species
UACGUAGGGGGCUAGCGUUGUCCGGAAUCAUUGGGCGUAAAGAGCGUGUAGGCGGCCCGGUAAGUCCGCUGUGAAAGUCGGGGGCUCAACCCUCGAAUGCCGGUGGAUACUGUCGGGCUAGAGUGCGGAAGAGGCGAGUGGAAUUCCUGGUGUAGCGGUGAAAUGCGUAGAUAUCGAGAGGAACACCUGCGGCGAAGGCGGGUAGCUGGGCCGACACUGACGCUGAGGCGCGAAAGCCAGGGGAGCGAACGGG